CCAUUUUGUCAUAAUUCACCCAUUUUUUUUAGAAAAUACAGGCUACGGCUACAGUACCUGACUCCAGGUACUGUUCAUCGUGUAACCGGUCACUGUUCAUUGGGUUAACCGCUACACCGCCUCAAAUAUCUCGACGACCAUCUUUUCUACUCCCUCAUUCUCAUCGUUACCGACUACUGCUUGCCUUCUCCAUUGUUUCACAAAAAGCAUUCGACGCCUACAGCUAUUGGUGAUCCCGCUUCAAGAUCUUCCUCGCUAUCUCUUUCUAUAAACCCUUCGUCUCCAUCGUGUCUCACCGCCACUAGAGAGACACCCACGACACACCACUUCCCAUUCUCUGCCAUCUGUGGAUGUUGCCGAUUGGGAUAUCGACUUCGCUGCCAACGCAAGCCUCGAUUUUUCGUAAGGGUGGCGGGAGGAAUAGCGAUUGAAAUCCUCCCAAACCUCCGGUGUCUGUUCAUCGCCUUCAAUGAAGUCGCCGAAAGCGUGAAGAGAAAUCAGAUUCAGGUGCAGUUGCAGGUUUUCGAUAAGGGCUUUCUCCUGAGGUAUACACUUAUUGUAAAAUAGAGUCAAAAGGACAUCAAUGUUUGGCUUCAAGAACUUUCUUUGGCAUGGUGGUUCUGCUUAUGAUGCUUGGUUCAGUUGUGUUUCAAACCAGGUAGCACAAGUGUUGUUGAACUAGAGUUGCGUUUAAUGUUUUUUUUUCAUUUGUUUUGGUCUCAUGUUUCUUGCAGGGGGGAUUAACAGUGAGUUUUUGGUGUGUUUUUGUCCCUCUUGCUAUUGCUAUGUUCCAUAUGGUGAAGGGUAGUUUGGUAAAUUUAAAAUUAUUUCAAGGGAAGUUAUACAAAUUUAGUAACUAGAGUUAGGUUUAAUGUUUUUUUUUUCAUUUGUUUUGGUCUCAUGUUUCUUGCAGGAUUAAUUAACAGUGAGUUUUUGGUGUGUUUUUCUCCUCUUGCUAUUGCUAUGUUCCAUAUGGUGAAGGGUAGUUUGGUAAAUUUAAAAUUAUUUCAAGGGAGGUGAUACGAUUUUAGUAACUACAGUUGGGUUUAAUUUUUUUUUCAUCAUUUGUUUUGGUGUGAUGUUUCUUGCAGGAGGAAUUAAUUAUCUAUGAAAAGGGUUUUUUGCUUCAACUUCCAUUAAGAUGAACUACCCUGCUAUUCCGAUUCUACCAUUGUCACCCCUUAAUCUUCAAUUUUGUUUCUUUACUAUGGAAUCAUUUGGAGUGUAUUUUUAGUUGUAUUCGAAGAAUUUCUUAUUAAUUGGAAUUGUAUCUCAUUUUGCACGCUAUGUUUUUGAUGAAAUAUCCGAUUCAACCAGCUGUUUCUAUAGCUUACAAGAGCUAAUUUGGACUGCCUGGAUCAGAUGGAAACAUGCAUUCAAUACAUUCUCAGAUUAUAGGUACUUGGGUUCACAUGUACGAGUACAUAGAACUGAUGGUGAGUAAGUCUACUUAUAACUUAACAAAGUUCCAUUCCAGGUUGACCAUUGUAUAGUAUAGCUUAUUAACAUGUUUGUUUGACAUGUACCUUAAGAGGUAUCAGUGGAUGAUAUUUGGAGAAACAGUCACACUUGAUCUGCAACAGGAUCUGGCCUGCAGUUUCAUGGAUUAUUGCAGGAUCUUCAACUUGAAUUCUUUUUUUUUUUCUUUUUUUUAAUGCUUAAAGGAUAUUACUGAUUUGAACAUUACACAAGUGAUUUGGGGAACUUCUAAAACCCACUCUGACAAAUUGACAUGACUGAUAUUCACUAUUUCUUAUCAAGCUUUCAUAUUUUCUUCAUUCAUUUUGACAAUAUAAUGCCAUGUUUAUUCUUUCCAUUGUAGUGCUUCACUUGAUUGUAGAACUUUAUACAGUGGAUGGCAAUGAAAUACCACCCCAGGCAAAUGAAGCUGUCAAAGAAAAUUAAAAUAUGUGAUUAAGUCAUUGUUUUUACAUGGACAUUUUGAGGAUGUUUUAUAGCUGAUAAAGAGGUUGAUUUUGAACUGUUUGAUUAGAGCAUUUGACUUCUUGAUGGAUGUUACAGCGCUUUACACAUCAGGUAGCCAAACUUGACCAUUUUACUCUAGCCGAAUUUUUCGCCCCUUAAAUCAUUUACUUUCAGUCGAGUCAAUGUAAUAGGAAGAAGGCGAGAAGUGCCCUUCCACCAUGAAAACAUUUGGUAGUGCUCAAAGUCAUGAGAAAAUUGAAAAUUUAUUUAAUUGUUCUUAAUCAUGUAAUAUAAAAACAAUGAAACCCACUGAAUAAGUAAAUUGGCACCAACCAUGGUAUUUACUUUAUUCAUUUUUUGUAAAGGAUUUUCAAGCACAUCAUUUUAUUAUUAUAUAGGAUCUGACACAAAAGGUUAUUAUAUUUCAGCUAAAUUAAUCCUUCGGAUAAUUGUAGUAUAUUGUGAAUAUAUGUUUAAAUUAAAAUAUAGUGUUGUUAAAUUAUAAAAAGUGUGUAUGAAAAUCCUUUAAAUCAGUUCCGUUUCUCUUCAUGUUUUUUAAAAAGCUUUUAUAUAUUACUAUUAUUAUUAUAUAUAAUGUAAUUAUAUUUUUCUUUUUUAAUGGUGUGACAUGUGAGAUUUCAUCUAAAAUUUGAUUCCAUAAUUUCUCCUAAAAAAGGUGUUCUCGGUAUAAAUACUUUUGUGUAUUUUGAUGAAGAAAAAUGUUUGUGAUGAGUAGGGCCAUAUGCUGCGCUUACAUGGAAUCUCAAAUCAGAUCGUAAGCUGGACACAAUGCAACUGUUGCACAACAUCAGUGAAGCUUUGUGUGUGCAAAGAACAGUCGAACAUCAUAGAUAUUCUUGAAACGAUUGAGGCAAUCUAGGAUUGAUUGUUAUCAGUAGCUAGCUUCCCACCUUUAUCAAAAAGGUUUCAAAUAUGUGGCCAACAUAUGUAUCUAUUAAUCAAAAUAAAGGGCAUAUUGUAAAGUUUUGAUAUAAGCAUUUUGAUAUAAGUAAAGUUAAACCAAUUGUUCUCCCAAUUCUACCCUCUGUCUAUUUGUUUAGGUCUUUCUAUUUCUAACCAAAUGACAUGAUCACAUAUUGUAAAGUUUUGAUAUAAGCAUUUUGUUUUUGUGAUUAAAGAUGUAUACUUAAAUUCUGAAUA